rnacentral:rRNA from 1 species
UACGAAGGGGGCUAGCGUUGCUCGGAAUCACUGGGCGUAAAGCGCACGUAGGCGGUCUUUUAAGUCAGGGGUGAAAUCCUGGAGCUCAACUCCAGAACUGCCUUUGAUACUGGGAGACUUGAGUCCGGGAGAGGUGAGUGGAACUGCGAGUGUAGAGGUGAAAUUCGUAGAUAUUCGCAAGAACACCAGUGGCGAAGGCGGCUCACUGGCCCGGUACUGACGCUGAGGCGCGAAAGCUAGGGGAGCGAACAGG